AUGAAGUAUUAAAGGUAUCGCCUGCCCAGUGAAUAUUUAAACGGCCGCGGGAUCCUCACCGUGCAAAGGUAGCAUAAUCACUUGUCCCCUAAAUAGUGACUAGUAUGAAUGGCCAAAUGAAGAUUCUACUGUCUCUUAUAGCUGAUCUAUGAAACUAAUCUACCAGUACAAAACCUGGUAUAUCAUCAUAAGACGAAAAGACCCUGUGGAACUUAAAGCAUAAACCAAUACAAUGGACCCCUGCUUUUAGUUGGGGCAACUUUGGAAACAAACAGAACUUCCAAUCACCUAUAAAGAUAAACAUAUCAAAAUAAUUACUUUCAGACCCAGCCCAAGCUGAUCAAAGAACCAAGCUACCCCAGGGAUAACAGCGCCAUCCCCUCCUAGAGCCCAAAUCGACGAGCGGGGUUUACGACCUCGAUGUUGGAUCAGGGCCCCCAAACAGUGCAACAGCUGUUAACGGUUUGUUUGUUCAACAAUUAAAGCCCUACGUGA
rnacentral:rRNA from 1 species